UACCACUGUCAGGUGACUACUUAGGUAGCUUUUAAAAAAUGGCGGCAUUGUUCGUUUGGUAAAAUACAGCGUGCUUCGUCACCGUCAUACCCCACUGCCGAUAAAUCCAAAGGGUCCAUGGUCAACGAGUGUUUUGAGGACAAUACUGUAACGGGAAUGAGGACGAGGCAUGGUGGUACACAGAUUGUUCUUCCGAGAUGAUGCAGCAGGAACUCCGGAGACAGCGUGCAGGUUUGGUUAGAUUAUCCUCUGCAUUUGACCCAUCACCAUCACCCCCUGGGAGGAGCAGUGAGCAGCAGCGGUGGCCGCGCCCUGGAAUCAUUUUGGUGAUUUAACCUCCAAUUCCAACCCUUGAUGCUGAGUGCCAAGCAGAGAGGGUUGAAUACAAAGUCUCCCUACUAACACACUAGUGCCUCCAUGGAAAUGCCCCCCUCUUCCUCAAAGAACUACUCCCCACCAAAUCCUCCAUAGGAGACCUCCACUCCUGACAGGCCUACCUCCACCAACCUCCGAGGACAAAGCUACGACCAAUGGGAGACCGGGCUUUCUGCUCCGCCGCUCCCAGUCUGUGGAACGCUCUCCCUGACCACCUGAGUGCACCACAGACUGUGGAUGUUUUUAAAAAAGACUUAAAAAACAUUCUUUAAAAAAAACAUUUUAAAAAGCCUUUUUUUUUAUACAUAAGCAUACUCGUUAUAGCUAAUAGGUUUUUCUAUUUGUUUUUUUAUGUAUUUUUAUUAUCUUUUAUUUUUAUUUAAUUGUUUUAAUACGCUGUAGCACUUUGAGGUUGUUUAAUCAAUGUAAAGUGUUUUUUACAAAUAAAUUAUAUCAUUAUUAUAUAUGUGAUAUAUAAUAUGAUUAUUAUUAUAUUAUAAUAUGAUAUAUUAGUAAUAAAUAUGUUUAUUACUUUUUAAGCGCAUUUUAGAAAGACCCUCCAUUUUGUUGUAUAUGUUGCACAACGACAAUACACCUAUCCAGCAUGUUUGUGUUAUUAACUGGCGGCUUCUGGCACUAUUAAAGGGAUGACCUCUGACCUCCCUAACAAGUAGCAAUCCUCCUCCUACGACACCCCCCACCCGCCCCACAGUCCCCUCCUGUCCUUGAGUCUUUCAAUCCCACAGUGCGUUAAAAGAAAUUAGUCACACACUUAACCACGCACACGCCGCCCAUUGUGGAGUGACUUCUAAAGUGUGUCAAAGAGGUUUCACGGUAGCGUUAAACAGUUCAGGUUGCACACGAGCCCUCCACCUUAGAGCGUGACCCUUAAAAAACAAAGAGAUGGCUCCUGGUGAAUAAUGGACACACACACACACACACCAGUGAUGGCUGUAACAACAAUAAUACUGCGAUGGUGUCCUCUAUAAGUUGCUACUUCACUAUACAUUCCAUGCAUUGCACCAAAAGGUGGUAUUUGUGUCGUACAAUAUCGUAUUUUUCUCUUGUUUUUACAUCAAAAACAAUUAUUUCCAUAAAAGAUUUAAAAAAAAAAAAAAAAAUUCUUCCUUUCUUUGGCAGCGUUCUUUCUGCACAAUGAAAUUAAAUGAAAGCAUGUGUGUAUCUAUUUUUCUGAGGUUUUUGUUGUUGUUUAUACACACACAUAUAUUAAAAAUAUAUUUUCCUCUGAACAAAAACACAGAAAAGAAAAUGAUUGGGAGCAAUUUAAUGAUUUAUGAAGAUGUUUCUCCAAAUAUUGUGGGAAAGCCGCGGAAAUUGUUUGUCUUUAAUUUGAGGAAAAGGAAACUUUGCAAGUUGUGACCGCUUUUUAUUUUUGAUUGGACAGUAAAAUGAAUCUGAAACAAUUUCUGAACAAAUAAAUAAAAUGAACAGCAAGUAUCUCCAUUUUUUAGCUAAAAAACAACAAAAACACAUUGAAAAGUGAAAAGGAAAAUCUCAUAAAACUUGCCCGCUUUUCAUUUGAUCGGGCAGUAAAAAUAUAAAAGUAAAAAAAGUAAUAUCGAUUCACAUCCAAAUUAUUAAUCCCGUUUAUAAAUCAAUUCAUGAUUAUCCAUAAAUCAUAAAAGCAUUUUUAUUUAAAAAAAAAAAAAAAAAAAGUUUUUUAGGUCAUGUCCAUGCAACCAAAAGGAGCUUUUCUAACCUAAAACCUGUUUUGAAAAAAAUGUUAUCAUAAUUUGUAUACCAAAUAAUACAUUUGGUUUAAAUAAAGAACUGUUUUAAUCAAGACUUGACCUCAUAUAAAAAAAAUUUCAUAAGAUAAAAAUAAAAAACAAAGAAUCGAUUCCGAAUCAAAUCAUCACCGACGGAAUUGGAAUAGGAUCGAAUCGUUUGGUGCCCAAAGAUUCAAACUCUUUGUCGCUCUGCAAAGAAAUCCACCCUGUCAGCCAUGUUGUCCUUUUUAGCGCUACCAUGCCAAGUCUUUUUUGGGAUUGGGGAAGAACAGCCAAUGUAUAUCAUACACUUGUGGUAAGAUUUGGACAUUGACAUUUUUAAAUUAAACAUAACAACACAUCUUGGAUCAUGCAGUAAUAUUACAAAAAUAUGAAAAAAAAAAAAAAAACUGACAAAAAAUUAUAUACUUAAAGGACUAAAAAGUCAGCCUUUUUUGCUCCAAGAGAAAAGUCCCUGGAAUGAGCAAAUUACGCUUACUUUAAAUCAUGGUGGUCCAAACUUUUUGAUUUGGGGGCCUAAUUGGGCUAAAAAAAUUUGGUCAUGGGCUGAAA